AAUAAAUAUACCAAAAGACUGAUUUUCUUCCGGGCUUGUGUUUAGUUACUCAGAUAUAUUUAUAUCCUUGGAAAAAAAUUCUGAAGUCAAUUUUAGCAUGGAAUAAAUCCCUAUGUUAAUUUUCCAGUAUUAAUUUAUUUUUUUUUCCUCAGGUGCUUGAAAUUACUGAACUGCAGCACUUGCCAGCACUAAACUAGAGGCCUGUAAGGAAUGGGUGGCUGUAUUUCAGAGCUGGAGCCAGUACAGCUGCUUUCUACCUUUCAGAAGUGCAUGAAUUGUGGCUUAGCUUUUGGAGUUCAGACACAGUUGUCAGGAGCCAAUGGGAAG
rnacentral:lncRNA from 1 species